AAGUCGAGCGAACGGACGAGAAGCUUGCUUCUCUGAUGUUAGCGGCGGACGGGUGAGUAACACGUGGAUAACCUACCUAUAAGACUGGGAUAACUUCGGGAAACCGGAGCUAAUACCGGAUAAUAUUUUGAACCGCAUGGUUCAAAAGUGAAAGACGGUCUUGCUGCCACUUAUAGAUGGAUCCGCGCUGCAUUAGCUAGUUGGUAAGGUAACGGCUUACCAAGGCAACGAUGCAUAGCCGACCUGAGAGGGUGAUCGGCCACACAGGAGCUGAGACACGGUCCAAACUCCUACGGGAGGCAGCAUUAGGGAAUCUUCCGCAAUGGGCGAAAGCCUGACGGAGCAACGCCGCGUGAGUGACGAAGGUCUUCGGAUCGUAACACUCUGUUAUUAGGGAAGAACAUAUGUGUAAGUAACUGUGCACAUCUUGACGGUACCUAAUCAGAAAGCCACGGCUAACUACGUGCCAGCAGCCGCGGUAAUACGUAGGUGGCAAGCGUUAUCCGGAAUUAUUGGGCGUAAAGCGCGCGUAGGCGGUUUUUUAAGUCUGAUGUGAAAGCCCACGGCUCAACCGUGGAGGGUCAUUGGAAACUGGAAAACUUGAGUGCAGAAGAGGAAAGUGGAAUUCCAUGUAUAGCGGUGAAAUGCGCAGAGAUAUGGAGGAACACCAGUGGCGAAGGCGACUUUCGUGGUCUGUAACUGACGCUGAUGUGCGAAAGCGUGGGGAUCAAACAGG
rnacentral:rRNA from 1 species